rnacentral:rRNA from 1 species
AUUGAACGCUGGCGGCAGGCCUAACACAUGCAAGUCGAGCGAGCGGCGGACGGGUGAGUAAUGCAUGGGGACUGCCCGAUAGAGGGGGAUAACUACUGGUAAUGGUGGCUAAUACCGCAUACUAUCGGAUAACCCAUAUGGGAUUAGCUAGUAGGUGGGGUAAAGGCAUACCUAGGCGACGACCUCCAGCUGGUCUGAGAGGAUGAUCAGCAACCCUGGGGCUUGGACACGGCCCAGACUCCGACGGAGGCAGCAGGAGUGAAUAUUGCACAGUGGGCGCAAGCCUGAUGCAGCCAUGCCGCGUGUAUGAGACAGGCCUUAGGGUUGUAGAGUACUUGCAGCGGUGAGGCGUUACCCGCAGAAGAAGCACCAGCUAACUCCGUGCCAGCAGCCGCGGUAAUAC